rnacentral:rRNA from 1 species
CUAUACAUGCAAGUCGAGCGGACUUGCUGGAGCUUGCUCCAGCAGGUUAGCGGCGGACGGGUGAGUAACACGUGGGCAACCUGCCUGUAAGACUGGGAUAACUCCGGGAAACCGGAGCUAAUACCGGAUAGUAUCUUGAACCGCAUGGUUCAAGUUGGAAAGACGGUUUCGGCUGUCACUUACAGAUGGGCCCGCGGCGCAUUAGCUAGUUGGUGAGGUAAUGGCUCACCAAGGCAACGAUGCGUAGCCGACCUGAGAGGGUGAUCGGCCACACUGGGACUGAGACACGGCCCAGACUCCUACGGGAGGCAGCAGUAGGGAAUCUUCCGCAAUGGACGAAAGUCUGACGGAGCAACGCCGCGUGAGUGAUGAAGGUUUUCGGAUCGUAAAACUCUGUUGUUAGGGAAGAACAAGUGCGAGAGUAACUGCUCGCACCUUGACGGUACCUAACCAGAAAGCCACGGCUAACUACGUGCCAGCAGCCGCGGUAAUACGUAGGUGGCAAGCGUUGUCCGGAAUUAUUGGGCGUAAAGCGCGCGCAGGCGGUUUCUUAAGUCUGAUGUGAAAGCCCCCGGCUCAACCGGGGAGGGUCAUUGGAAACUGGGAAACUUGAGUGCAGAAGAGGAGAGUGGAAUUCCACGUGUAGCGGUGAAAUGCGUAGAGAUGUGGAGGAACACCAGUGGCGAAGGCGACUCUCUGGUCUGUAACUGACGCUGAGGCGCGAAAGCGUGGGGAGCGAACAGGAUUAGAUACCCUGGUAGUCCACGCCGUAAACGAUGAGUGCUAAGUGUUAGAGGGUUUCCGCCCU